rnacentral:rRNA from 1 species
UAGGCACAUGGUGGAUGCCUUGGGACUGGGAGGCGAUGAAGGACGCAGCCUGUCUGCGAUAAUCCCGGGGGAGGUGACAAGCAACCUUUGAACCCGGGGUCUCCGAAUGGGGAAACCCUUUCCGGCGUUGAACCGGAAAAUCCCAUAGCGCAAGCUAGGGAAGCGAACCUGCGGAAGGGAAACAUCUCAGUACGCAGAGGAAAAGAAAAAAAUCCUCGCUUCGGCGAGGGACAUUCUCUUAGUAGCGGCGAGCGAAAAGAGAAGAGCUCAAACCAGUUUGUAUUUCGCUUAUGUUCAUCAAAAUUGGUGGAUAUAAGUGAAAUACAGGCUGGGGUUAUAAGGUAAGGAUAAUCCCGAGCGUAAGCGAGGGACAAAGCGCAUCAAUAUGCAAUUUGGUUAACCCAACUACCCUGGAAAGGGAGGCCAUAGCGGGUAAUAGCCCCGUAAGUGAAAAUCAUUGCAAGCUUUGAAUCUUUAUUCUUGAGUACCGCGGGAAACGAAAGUCCUGCGGGAAUUCGGCUGGACUAUACAGCCAAAGCUAAAUACUACCCAGUCACCGAUAGUGCACAAGUACCGUGAGGGAAAGGUUAAAAGUAGGGGGGUGACCCCGGUGAAAUAGAUCCUGAAACCAUGAUGCUUACAAAGACUCGGAGUGCUGAGGCGCAAGCCGAAGUAUGACGGGGUGCUUUUUGUAGAACGAGCCAACGAGUUUAAUUUAUCAGUUAGUCUAAGCGUCUCUGACGCGAAGGCAUAGGGAAACCAAGUCUUAAUAGGGCGCAAUCCCGAGCGUAAGCGAGGGAGUACUGAUGGGUUAAGACCCGAAGCCAAGGCGAGCUUGCCAUGACCAGGUUGAAUCCCGCCGAAAGGCGGGAGGAGGACCGAACCGGUUGACUGUGCAAAAUCUUCGGAUGAGUCGUGGUAAGAAGUGAAAAGCUAAUCGAGCUUGGUAAUAGCUGGUUCUCUCCGAUAUAACUUUAGGGUUAGCGUCCUGCGCUAAUGGUUUUGGAGGUAGAGCACUGAAAGAAAUUCCGUGGCGAAAGUCAGGUAUUUCUAUCAAACUCCGAAUGCCGGAACCAUUGCAGGGCAGUAAGACUACGGGCGCUAAGGUCCGUGGUCGUAAGGGGGAAAGCCCAUGACCUCAGUCUAAGGUCCCCAAAUCAGGCUAAGUGCAAAACAAGGAAGUGAGAUUCCUCUGAUAGCUAGGAGGUUAGCUCAGAAGCAGCUAUCCUUUAAAAAGUGCGUAACAGCUUACUAGCUAAGGAGUUUUGCGCCGUAGAUUAACGGGGCUCAAGCCUGAUACCGAAGACGAGGGUGUCCCGCAUUUUUGCGGGGCGCGGUAGGAGAGCGUUCCCAUUGCAGUGAAGCGGAACCGUGAGGUUUCGUGGAGCGUUGGGAAGUGAGAAUGUUGGCAUGAGUAACCACAAUGCAUGUGAGAUCCAUGCACACCGAAAACCCAAGGGUUCCGUGACAAUGGUGAUCAGUCACGGGUUAGGCGGUCCUAAGGCACAGCCGAGAGGCGCAGCUGAUGGACAUCUGGUUAAUAUUCCAGUCCUUCCGUUUCUUGCUGAGAAAGUGACGAAGUUUAGUACUCUGGGCGGGUUAUUGGAUUCCCGUUGCCAAUUUGAUUGUUCCGGGCGCAAGCUCGGGAUGAAAGAAUUGUCGAGAUGUUUCCCGCAAGGGAGAUAGAUUCAGACGAGCAAGCUUCCCAGAAAAACCUUUCAAGGGCUAUCAAGAAAGGGAAACCGUACCGUAAACCGACACAGGUGGGUUGGCGUCAAAUUGCCAAGGUGAACGAGUGAAAGUUCGUGAAGGAACUAGGCAAACAAGUAUGCGUACCUUAGGUAUAUGCAUUCCCUUCAUAGCAAUAUGGAGGGCGCAGCGAAGGAUUCUCAGGCGGCUGUUUACCAAAAACACAGGUCCCUGCUAAACUCGUAAGAGGAAAUAUAGGGGCUGAGACCUGACCAGUGCCCGUGUGUUAAAGCUGAGGGUGGAUUUGAUCGCAAGAUUGGAUUUGCUCAUCGGUCUAAGCUACGGGUGAACGUCCGCGGUAACUCUGACCGUGUUAAAGUAGCGUAGUCCCUUGUCGCGUAAGUUGCGACCCGCAUGAAAGGUAUAACGAUCUGAGAACUGUCUCCACGAAUUACUCGGUGAAAAUGUAAUGGAAGUGAAGAUACUUCCUACCUGCGACUAGACGGAAAGACCCCGGAAGCUUUACUGUAGGGUGAUAUUGAGUUUUGAAUUUUGAUGCGUAGAAUAGUGGUGAGGAUUUGAGGUCUCGUUUUCGGACGGGGCUGAUCCGACAGUGAAAUAGCCAUCUUUAAAGUUCAUUAUUCUAAUUUGAAAAAUGACAGUGUCACUUGGGCAGUUUAAGUGGGGCGCUUGCCUCCUAAAAUGUAACGGAGGCGUUUAAAGGUCAGCUAAGCACGGAUGGAAAUCGUGCAUGUUGCGUAAAGGCAUAAGCUGGCUUAACUGCAAGACGGAUGUGUCGCGCAGAUGCGAAAGCAGAACUUAGUGAACCGAUGCUGGUUAUUAGAAUCGGCAGAGAUUAUCAAACAAAAGUUACUCCGGGGAUAACAGGCUAGUACGACCCACGAGUCCAUAUCAACGGUCGUGUUCGGCACCUCGAUGUCGGCUCAUCAUAGCGCGGGGGUGGAGAAGCUCCCAAGCGUCCGGCUGUUCGCCGGUUAAAAUGGUACGUGAGCUGGGUUCAGACCGUCGCGAGACAGGUCGGUCCCUAUCUAUCGCAGGCGUUUGAGUUUUGAGGAGAGUCGACCCUAGUACGAGAGGACCGGGUUGAACUGACCUCUGGUGUGCCAGUUGUUCCGCCAGGAGCAUUGCUGGGUAGCUAAGUCGGGAACGGAUAAGAGCUGAAAGCAUCUAAGCUCGAAGCCUCCUCCAAGAUUAUAACUCUUAGUUUCCUCCAAGAACAGGAGGUUGAUAGGCUGCAGGUGUAAGCGCGGCAACGCGUUCAGCCAAGCAGUACUAAUAAACGAUCAAAAUUGC